rnacentral:rRNA from 1 species
UUGCUUUAUAAUUAAAAGCUAGAAUGAAAGGCUUAACGUUUUAAUAGUUUUAUUAAUAAUAUAUCUAUAAUUUAUUUUAAAUAUAAAAAAAUAUUUAUUUUAAAAAUAGACGAUAAGACCCUAUUGAACUUUACUUAAUUUGUUUAGCUGGGGCAGCUAUUUAAUUAUUAUUUUAAUACUAUUUUUAUUUAAUAAAAAACCAAUAAAAUUGAAUUUAUAUUAAGUUACCAUAGGGAUAACAGCGUAAUAUUAAUUUAAAGUUCAUAUUAAAAUUAAUGUUUGCGACCUCGAUGUUGAAUUAUAAUUCUUUAUUAAUGUAGUAGUUAUAAAAGCAGGUCUGUUCGACCUUUAAUAUUAUACAUGAUUUGAGUUCAAACCGGUAUAAGCCAGGUUGGUUUCUAUCUUUUAUUUAAAUUUUUCCAGUACGAAAGGACAAAAAAAUUUAUUAUAAAUUUAAUAUUAGCAAAUAAGUGCAUUAGAAUUAGAAUCUAAAUUUACUUUUAAUAUUAUAUAUUUAAAUUCAUUAAUUCCAAUAAUUUGUAUUUUAAUUAGAGUAGCUUUUUAUACUAUUUUAGAACGAAAAAUCUUAGGAUAUAUUCAAAUUCGAAAAGGUCCUAAUAAAGUAGGAUUUAUAGGAAUUUUACAACCAUUUAGAGAUGCUAUUAAAUUAUUUAAUAAAAAUUUAUUAUCCUCAGAAUUCAUAAAUUUUUCCUUUUCUUAUAUUACACCAGCAUUAUCAUUAAUUUUAGCAAUAAUAAUUAUAUCUUUUAUUCCUAUAUAUGGAUAUUCUCCUUUUGAUAAUAAACAUAAUAUUUUAUUAUUCUUUAUUAUUUCCAGAUUAUCUGUAUAUUCAAUUUU